rnacentral:rRNA from 1 species
UACGAAGGGAGCUAGCGUUGUUCGGAAUUACUGGGCGUAAAGGGCGCGUAGGCGGCUUGAUAAGUUUGAUGUGAAAGCCCUGGGCUUAACCUAGGAAUAGCAUUGAAUACUGUCAGGCUAGAGACCGAGAGAGGGAAAUGGAAUUGCGAGUGUAGAGGUGAAAUUCGUAGAUAUUCGCAAGAACACCAGUGGCGAAGGCGAUUUCCUGGCUCGGUACUGACGCUAAGGCGCGAAAGCGUGGGGAGCAAACAGG